CCAAAAUCUGUAACUCACUGCAUGGCCCUGGAGCUGAUAGAGAAGUUCUGACCCAACAACUCCAUGAUCUCUUUCCAAGCCAGAGGAGUGAACAUGGAGACUUUCCGCUGCUUAUCCAGUUUUUCUCCUAAGUGGUACAGCCCACAGGCUGUGCUCAUGAUUUUGUAAGAAGAGGCCCCAGCCCAUGAAAGUUCACCCUAACUGAUGCCUUUUUGAGAAAACAAACAGGAUAAGUGGCAGGGCUAUCUAAGUCAUAGCUGGGCCAUUGUGUGCCCGUGCCAAUGCCAGUGCCCGAGACUCGGGUUUGAAUCGAUAUCCUGUGAGAAGCCAUCCCUGUCCCUGGAAUUUCCUCCUGGGUCAUGCCCUGCCCCACACCUGGAGAGCCUGCCAGGAACCUUUAGAAGCCCAGAUCAAGCUGGCUCCAGUGCUCUCACCUGGACCGGAAAAGAACUGGUGAGUCAGCAAACUUCAUCAGCAAGAUUGGGCCCAGGCCAGAGAGGGCCUUGAGGACGGCCACAAGGAGCGGAGGGUGGAAGCAACAGCAGCAGCACGUUUGGAAAGAAAGGCGAAGACAGAACUAAAUGCCAGGUACGAGACUAGAGGGUUUUCUGAUGCGGCCUCAUAUAAUACUUUGGUCA
rnacentral:lncRNA from 1 species